rnacentral:misc_RNA from 1 species
CAGAGUUCAUGCCCUCACGGGUAGAUCUCCCACCCUUGAAUAACAUACAAUGUUGCUUUGGCGGCCGCCGAAGCGCUCGCCAAAGGACCCUAAACUCUUGUUUACAGUGUCGUCUGAGUACUAUACAAUAGUUA